rfam:Oryza meridionalis cultivar OR44 (W2112) chromosome 8, whole genome shotgun sequence.
AAAGCUAGGGGAGAAAAUGGGAUUGAUGACCCCAGUAGUCCUAGCCGUAAACGAUGGAUACUAGGUGUUGUGUGACCCGACCCAUAUAGUGCUAUAUCUAAUGCCUUAAGUAUCC